GGGAAGGUGGCUCAGUGGUGGAGUGCUUGCCUUGCAUGCAUGAGGCCCUGGGUUCCAUCUUCCCC
rnacentral:tRNA from 1 species